rnacentral:misc_RNA from 1 species
GAUGAAGAACGUAGCGAAAUGCGAUAAGUAAUGUGAAUUGCAGAAUUCAGUGAAUCAUCGAAUCUUUUAACGCACAUUGCGCCCGCCAGUAUUCUGGCGGGCAUGCCUGUUCGAGCGUCAUUACAACCCUCAGGCCCCCGGGCCUGGCGUUGGGGAUCGGCGGAAGCCCCCUGCGGGCACAACGCCGUCCCCCAAAUACAGUGGCGGUCCCGCCGCAGCUUCCAUUGCGUAGUAGCUAACACCUCGCAACUGGAGAGCGGCGCGGCCACGCCGUAAAACACCCAACUUCUGAAUGUUGACCUCGAAUCAGGUAGGAAUACCCGCUGAACUUAAGCAUAUCAAUAAGCGGAGGA